rnacentral:rRNA from 1 species
ACUCCUACGGGAGGCAGCAGUGAGGAAUAUUGGUCAAUGGGAGCAAUCCUGAACCAGCAAUGCCGCGUGUGGGAUGACGGGGCUCAGCCCUGUAAACCACUGUCGGACGGGACGAAAGGAGCCUUCAGGGCUCUGGGACGGUACCGUCAAAGGAAGGGUCGGCUAACUACGUGCCAGCAGCCGCGGUAAUACGUAGGACCCGAGCGUUGUCCGGAAUUACUGGGUAUAAAGGGUGCGCAGGCGGCCGCGUGCGUCAGAGGUGAAAUCUCCGGGCUUAACCCGGAGGGUGCCUUUGAUACGGCAUGGCUUGAGUCCGAGAGAGGGUGAUGGAAUUCCUGGUGUAGCAGUGAAAUGCGUAGAUAUCAGGAGGAACACCGGUGGCGAAGGCGGUCACCUGGCUCGGCACUGACGCUUAGGCACGAAAGCGUGGGGAUCAAACAGGAUUAGAUACCCUGGUAGUC